UACGUAGGGGGCAAGCGUUGUCCGGAUUUACUGGGCGUAAAGAGCGUGUAGGCGGCCAAGCAGGUCCGUUGUGAAAACUGGAGGCUUAACCUCCAGACGUCGACGGAAACCGCGUGGCUAGAGUCCGGAAGAGGAGAGUGGAAUUCCUGGUGUAGCGGUGAAAUGCGCAGAUAUCAGGAAGAACACCCGUGGCGAAGGCGGUUCUCUGGGACGGUACUGACGCUGAGAAGCGAAAGCAUGGGGAGCGAACAGG
rnacentral:rRNA from 1 species